CUGCGGACAGGUGGUUUCUGCAGCGCCUUUUGUCCAGCUGGCCGGGUUAGCCGGCAGGCUGCUCGGGACAGAGUCUGCCACUGAUCACACAGCGAAGCUGCCGCCUCAGUUACGGCCGUGCAGCAGUGAGCAGUCUCUUUUGAUGUACAUUCUGAAGAGCUUACACAACAGGACAGGGAUUUUUAGCACACUUCAGUUCUUUCCUGAAACAGCAGUGCUAAUGAGACUUGUCUUCCCAUGGAUUAUGUCUCAUGUUUCAUUGCAGAGCUCACCUGAACCCUUUUCCAUAGACAAGAUGCAACAAUUCCAAGCGAAGUCUGUCCUGAACUCCUCCGUGGCUGAGAGCUGGCAGGGGAUGCGCCAUACAGAAGGCUCUCUGAGCUGUCCUCCCCUUGACUCAGGAUUUGGUCUAUGACUGCUGAUAAGCCGCAACCGUAAUCAGAGAAGCCUGAUUAAGAUCACCAGUUUGGCAAGAAAUGAAAGACUUUACAUCUGGUAUUUGCAGAUAGAACCUGGCAGAGCUGGCUUCCUCAAGUCCAUACUGAAAGACAGUAGGUACUGUUGUUUAUUAUCCGCUUGUAUAGAGGUGAGUUUCAGGUGUGAGGUGGUAUUGGUGGACUAGUUUUACAGAGAUGAAUGUUUAUCAUUCAUCUCACAAGCUUGCCAACCUAAUCAAAGUUAAAUCUUCC
rnacentral:lncRNA from 1 species